AGUGCACAGGCAUAGCGCCUGUGCUUUUCGGUAUCCCUAAGGCGGUACCAGAAUAAGGGCUGGGCAAGACCGGUGCCAGCCGCCGCGGUAAUACCGGCAGCCCAAGUCAUGGCCGAUCUUAUUGGGCCUAAAGCGUCCGUAGCUGGCCGCGCAAGUCCAUCGGGAAAUCCACCUGCUCAACAGGUGGGCGCCCGGUAGAAACUGCGUGGCUUGGGACCGGAAGGCGCGACGGGUACGUCCGGGGUAGGAGUGAAAUCCCGUAAUCCUGGACGGACCGCCGAUGGCGAAAGCACGUCCGCAGAACGGAUCCGACAGUGAGGGACGAAAGCCGAGGGUCUCGAACCGGAUUAGAUACCCGGGUAGUCCUGGCCGUAAACAAAUGUUCUGCUAGGUGUGGCUCCCACUACGAGUGGGUGCUGUGCCGUAAGGGAAAGCCGCUAAGCAGACCGC
rnacentral:rRNA from 1 species